GAUGAACGCUGGCGGCGUGCCUAAUACAUGCAAGUCGAGCGAACGGAUGAGAAGCUUGCUCCUCUGACGUUAGCGGCGGACGGGUGAGUAACACGUGGAUAACCUACCUAUAAGACUGGGAUAACUUCGGGAAACCGGAGCUAAUACCGGAUAAUAUUUUGAACCGCAUGGUUCAAUAGUGAAAGACGGUUUUGCUGUCACUUAUAGAUGGAUCCGCGCCGCAUUAGCUAGUUGGUAAGGUAACGGCUUACCAAGGCAACGAUGCGUAGCCGACCUGAGAGGGUGAUCGGCCACACUGGAACUGAGACACGGUCCAGACUCCUACGGGAGGCAGCAGUAGGGAAUCUUCCGCAAUGGGCGAAAGCCUGACGGAGCAACGCCGCGUGAGUGAUGAAGGUCUUCGGAUCGUAAAACUCUGUUAUUAGGGAAGAACAAAUGUGUAAGUAACUAUGCACGUCUUGACGGUACCUAAUCAGAAAGCCACGGCUAACUACGUG
rnacentral:rRNA from 1 species